rnacentral:rRNA from 1 species
GAUGAACGCUGGCGGCGUGCCUAAUACAUGCAAGUCGAGCGAACGGACGAGAAGCUUGCUUCUCUGAUGUUAGCGGCGGACGGGUGAGUAACACGUGGAUAACCUACCUAUAAGACUGGGAUAACUUCGGGAAACCGGAGCUAAUACCGGAUAAUAUUUUGAACCGCAUGGUUCAAAAGUGAAAGACGGUCUUGCUGUCACUUAUAGAUGGAUCCGCGCUGCAUUAGCUAGUUGGUAAGGUAACGGCUUACCAAGGCAACGAUGCAUAGCCGACCUGAGAGGGUGAUCGGCCACACUGGAACUGAGACACGGUCCAGACUCCUACGGGAGGCAGCAGUAGGGAAUCUUCCGCAAUGGGCGAAAGCCUGACGGAGCAACGCCGCGUGAGUGAUGAAGGUCUUCGGAUCGUAAAACUCUGUUAUUAGGGAAGAACAUAUGUGUAAGUAACUGUGCACAUCUUGACGGUACCUAAUCAGAAAGCCACGGCUAACUACGUGCCAGCAGCCGCGGUAAUACGUAGGUGGGCAGCGUUAUCCGGAAUUAUUGGGCGUAAAGCGCGCGUAGGCGGUUUUUUAAGUCUGAUGUGAAAGCCCACGGCUCAACCGUGGAGGGUCAUUGGAAACUGGAAAACUUGAGUGCAGAAGAGGAAAGUGGAAUUCCAUGUGUAGCGGUGAAAUGCGCAGAGAUAUGGAGGAACACCAGUGGCGAAGGCGACUUUCUGGUCUGUAACUGACGCUGAUGUGCGAAAGCGUGGGGAUCAAACAGGAUUAGAUACCCUGGUAGUCCACGCCGUAAACGAUGAGUGCUAAGUGUUAGGGGGUUUCCGCCCCUUAGUGCUGCAGCUAACGCAUUAAGCACUCCGCCUGGGGAGUACGACCGCAAGGUUGAAACUCAAAGGAAUUGACGGGGACCCGCACAAGCGGUGGAGCAUGUGGUUUAAUUCGAAGCAACGCGAAGAACCUUACCAAAUCUUGACAUCCUUUGACAACUCUAGAGAUAGAGCUUUCCCCUUCGGGGGACAAAGUGACAGGUGGUGCAUGGUUGUCGUCAGCUCGUGUCGUGAGAUGUUGGGUUAAGUCCCGCAACGAGCGCAACCCUUAAGCUUAGUUGCCAUCAUUAAGUUGGGCACUCUAAGUUGACUGCCGGUGACAAACCGGAGGAAGGUGGGGAUGACGUCAAAUCAUCAUGCCCCUUAUGAUUUGGGCUACACACGUGCUACAAUGGACAAUACAAAGGGCAGCGAAACCGCGAGGUCAAGCAAAUCCCAUAAAGUUGUUCUCAGUUCGGAUUGUAGUCUGCAACUCGACUACAUGAAGCUGGAAUCGCUAGUAAUCGUAGAUCAGCAUGCUACGGUGAAUACGUUCCCGGGUCU